GACGAACGCUGGCGGCGUGCUUAACACAUGCAAGUCGAACGAGUGGCGAACGGGUGAGUACUACGUGGGUAACCAGCCCUCUUUGUGGGAGAAGCCUUGGACACGGGGUCUAAUACCGAAGAAAGGGGGAUGGGCGCGCGGCAUCUCAGCUUGGUGGUGGGGUGCUGGCCUACCCAGGCGGUGACGGGUAGCCGGCGUGAGCGGGUGACCGGCCCCAUGGGGACUGGGUGACGGCCCAGCGUCCUACGGGAGGCAGCAGUGGGGAAUAUUGACCAAUGUGCGAAAGCCUGAUGCAGCGCCGCCGCGUGGGGGAUGAAGGCUUUCGGGUUGUAAACCUCUUUCGCUAGCGAAGGGUAGGUGGAGAAGAAGCGCCGGCUAACUACGUGCCAGCAGCCGCGGUAAUAC
rnacentral:rRNA from 1 species